rnacentral:lncRNA from 1 species
CAUCAAUUCGAGUACAUUGAAAGUACUGAAUAUCUCUUGAAUUCCUUUCCUCACCUUCCGCUAGCCAGCUUAGUUCAUUCUCUCCUGGUCACUCAGUGAUCUGUAACUAAUGCUGAUUAGUGGGCAAUAGUUGUUUGACUCUCUUGCAGCCCUUUCUCCCCUUCCUCCUACAGCAGGCCUUUGUUUUCUUGUGUUUGUUUGUUUGUUUGUUUGUUUUUGUUUUGGCUUUGGGAUUUUGUUUAUUUGUUUUUGAGGAUUUACCACGUUCUACCCUUAUUGCAGGUUUCCUGUCUAGUGCCUUUCUCCUGGGGUGAAAAAAUAACCUAAGCAAGUCCAUUAAGAGGAAUAGCUGGAUUCUUGCAGGAAAACCAGAAAAGAGGCUCCCUCUUCUUGCUGAAUUUAAGUCUGGAAAAUGUAUGACUGAAAGCGGCAGCCAUUGGCCACCAUAAGCCUGAGAACAAAGCCAGCAUAGACAAGGAAGAACUGAGAGAAGAAAUUGCUUCUUGAUGACAUUGCAUUUUCAUUUUCAUUUUCAUUACAAUAUUAUUAAAAGAGACAAUGCAUUUACUUUUUUAAAAUUAGGACUUUGGACAAGAGAUGUGGAGAGUAUUUUCCUGAGGACAGAUUGGGAUGAACAACAAAGUGAACCUUCAGGGUUAUGAAUUUUAUUAAUUUUAUUGACCACUGCUGAGUGCCAGAUCCUGAAUUCCGGAUAACCUCAUCUGUAAUGUACAACACUUGUUUUGUAUAUUUCUGAUAUGCGAGGUCAUCUAAAGCAGGAAUUCCAUUUUCCGUAAGACAAUCUCUACCUUUAGUGAACAAUCUCUCCCAUCGUCUACUGGAAAAAAAUCUUUAGAUGGCAUUCAAAUUGAAAGCCCUGACCCAAACAUUGCCUACUUCUCUAAGUUUAUGUCUUACCACUGCCGGCCCCUGCAUUGAUUCUCCUCCCUUAAUUUUCCUCUUUCCAUAAUGUUUAUUCCUUCCAUAAAUGGUAGAGUUGGGACUUGUACACAAAGUCUAAAUCCAGGACUUGUGUCCUAAACACCAUACUCAAUUGUUCAUUCUACUGUUGUUCAUCUAGUGCUUCACUUUUCUUCACAACAGAAUUUAGUGGCUCCUAUCACCUAAAGGAAAAUGUUUAUACACAGUGUUGUGGCACCAGAUAUUAAAACUUACCUCAAGUGCUCACCAAAAUGAAUUGUUUCCUCCCUUUCAUGUUACACCAUAUUUACCUCCAAGUAGAUUACAGACUCGUUGAAGGCAGAAAUUAUGCUUUAUACCUCUUGAUGUGCCUCUUAUUACUAAACACAAUGAUGUGAUGUGUGGCAUUAAAAAGUUACUUUCUUAAAGAAUCCAUUUUCAUUUGAAAAAAACACCUAUAGUUCAGAGACACCUUGUGUAUAAUGAAUCAUGGUGUUAUUUGUUUUCCCUCUCCAAUUAAUUUGGUGCAAUCUCCAGCUAGAACAUCAUGUCUGGCUAAUUUAUUGCAGGGCCAUCCCUCUUCUCCACUGGGACACCUUCUUCUUGUUCUGUAUCUGUGUGUGCUUGGGGUGGACACCUGGUGGAAGGUCUGUUCACAGGCUUGCAGAUGGGUGGAGGGGAGCACACCGCCCCCUCGUGAAAACUGGCUUGCCACUGAGAGAAUUACCUUAUGUCCUCUAAUCCAAAACCAUUCUGCAUGUUUUCCUUACUAGGAUUUAAAGAACAUACUCUGUUCCCAUCCAAAUGUGAGAAGUUUAAUUUCAA